CGAAAGGAGGGGCAAUACCGAAUAUUGUCCGGAGCCGUGAAGGGUUCCGGGGAAAGGGAGGCCUCUGAUACAAGCUUUCGCCUUAAGAUGAGCCCAUGGCCCAUCAGCUAGUUGGUAGGGUAAAGGCCUACCAAGGCUACGACGGGUCGCUGGUCUGAGAGGACGACCAGCCACACUGGCACUGAGAUACGGGCCAGACUCCUACGGGAGGCAGCAGUGAGGAAUAUUGCGCAAUGGGGGAAACCCUGACG
rnacentral:rRNA from 1 species